rnacentral:rRNA from 1 species
UACGUAGGGGGCAAGCGUUGUCCGGAUUUAUUGGGCGUAAAGAGCGUGUAGGCGGCUUGGCAAGUCCGCUGUGAAAACUCGAGGCUCAACCUCGAGACGUCGGUGGAAACUGCCUGGCUGGAGUCCGGAAGAGGAGAGUGGAAUUCCUGGUGUAGCGGUGAAAUGCGCAGAUAUCAGGAAGAACACCAAUAGCGAAGGCAGCUCGCUGGGACGGUACUGACGCUGAGGCGCGAAAGCGUGGGGAGCGAACAGG